AGCGAACGCUGGCGGCGCGUUUUAAGCAUGCAAGUCGAGCGGCAAGGGUCUUCGGGCCCCUAGAGCGGCGGACGGGUGAGUAACACGUGGACAAUCUGCCCCCCGGCCGGGGAUAGCCCAGGGAAACCUGGAUUAAUACCGGAUGAGACGGGACCCGCGGAGGCGGGAUCCGGGAAAGGCGCUGCGGCGCCGCCGGGGGAUGAGUCUGCGUCCCAUUAGCUUGACGGCGGGGUAACGGCCCACCGUGGCGACGAUGGGUAGCCGGCCUGAGAGGGUGUACGGCCACAUUGGAACUGAGACACGGUCCAGACUCCUACGGGAGGCAGCAGCUAAGAAUCUUCCGCAAUGGGCGAAAGCCUGACGGAGCGACGCCGCGUGAACGAAGAAGGCCGUGAGGUUGUAAAGUUCUUUUCGGGAGGGGGAACAACCGUGGCAGGGAAUGGCCGCGGGAUGACGUGAAUCCCGGAAUAAGCCCCGGCUAACUACGUGCCAGCAGCCGCGGUAACACGUAGGGGGCGAGCGUUGUUCGGAAUCAUUGGGCGUAAAGGGCGUGCAGGCGGUCCUGCAAGUCCGGCGUGAAAGACCCCGGCCCAACCGGGGGGGCGCGCUGGAAACUGCAGGGCUUGAGUACAGGAGGGGGUGCCGGAAUUCCAGGUGUAGGGGUGAAAUCUGUAGAUAUCUGGAGGAACACCAAUGGCGAGGGCAGGCAUCUGGCCAUGUACUGACGCUGAGACGCGAAGGUGCGGGGAGCAAACA
rnacentral:rRNA from 1 species